rnacentral:rRNA from 1 species
UCAAGUUAUUAAGGGUGCAGGGCGGAUGCCUUGGCACUAGGAGCCGAUGAAGGACGUGAUAAGCUGCGAUAAGCUUCGGGGAGUUGCACGUAAACUUUGAUCCGAAGAUUUCCGAAUGAGGAAACUCACUUAGAGUAAUGUCUAAGUAUCAUUAAGUGAAUACAUAGCUUAAUGAGGGGAACUCAGGGAACUGAAACAUCUAAGUACCUGAAGGAAGAGAAAGAAAUUCGAUUCCGUAAGUAGCGGCGAGCGAACGCGGAUUAGCCCAAACCAAUAAAGUUUUCUUUAUUGGGGUUGCGGACAUAUCAUAACGAAGAGGUAUCGUAAUUGAAGAGGUUUGGAAAGACCCACCACAGAAGGUAAUAGUCCUGUAUGUUAAACGAGAAGACUUCAGAUAUGAUCCAGAGUACCACGGGACACGUGAAACCCUGUGGGAAGCAGGAGGGACCACCCUCCAAGGCUAAAUACUACCUAGUGACCGAUAGCGUAUAGUACCGUGAGGGAAAGGUGAAAAGAACCCCGGGAGGGGAGUGAAAUAGAACCUGAAACCCUGCACUUACAAGCUGUGGAAGCACAUUUCUUGUGUGACCGCGUACUUUUUGUAGAACGGGCCAACGAGUUACGUUAAGUAGCAAGGUUAAGCACUUAAGGUGCGGAGCCGUAGCGAAAGCGAGUUUUAACUGAGCGUUCAGUUACUUGACGUAGACCCGAAACCGGGCGACCUACCCAUGAGCAGGAUGAAGCGAAAGUAAAAUUUCGUGGAGGUCCGAACCCACGAGCGUUGAAAAGCUCGGGGAUGACUUGUGGGUAGCGGUGAAAUUCCAAUCGAGCCCGGAGAUAGCUGGUUCUCCCCGAAAUAGCUUUAGGGCUAGCCUCAAGGUGAGAGAUACGGAGGUAGAGCACUGAAUGUCCUAGGGGGUAUUGCACCUACCGAAGACUAUCAAACUCCGAAUGCCGUCAUCUUAUACUUGGGAGUCAGACUGUGGGUGAUAAGAUUCAUAGUCGAAAGGGCAACAGCCCAGAUCGUCAGCUAAGGUCCCUAAAUGUAAGUUAAGUGGUAAAGGAUGUGGGAUUGCACAGACAACCAGGAUGUUGGCUUAGAAGCAGCCACUCAUUCAAAGAGUGCGUAAUAGCUCACUGGUCGAGUGAUCCUGCGCCGAAGAUUUCCGGGGCUAAAACUUACUACCGAAGCUACGGCAUCAGUAAUGAUGGGUAGGGGAGCUUCCCAUACGGGUUGAAGCAUGACCGUAAGGACAUGUGGACAGUAUGGGAGUGAGAAUGUUGGCAUGAGUAGCGAGAUGUGGGUGAGAAUCCCACAGGCCGUAAACCCAAGGUUUCCAGGGGAAGGUUCGUCCGCCCUGGGUUAGUCGGGACCUAAGCUGAGGCCGAAAGGCGUAGGUGAUGGACAACAGGUUGAUAUUCCUGUACUACCGAUAACCGUUUGAGAGAAGGGAUGACACAGUAGGAUAAGCUAAGCACACUGUUGGUUAUGUGUGCCCAAGCAUUGAGGCAGUCAAAGUAGGCAAAUCCGCUUUGAUAAUGCUGGGAUGUGAUGGGGAGCGAAAUUUAGUAGCGAAGUAGCUGAUUUCACACUGUCAAGAAAAGUCUCUAUCGAGGUUAAAGGUACCCGUACCGCAAACCGACACAGGUGGGUGAGGAGAGUAUCCUAAGGCCAGCGAGAGAACUGUUGUUAAGGAACUCGGCAAAAUGACCCCGUAACUUAGGGAUAAGGGGUGCCACCAUCAGGUGGCCGCAGAGAAUAGGCCCAAGCGACUGUUUACCAAAAACAUAGGUUUCUGCUAAGUCGCAAGACGAUGUAUAGGAGCUGACGCCUGCCCGGUGCUGGAAGGUUAAGGGGAUCUGUUAGAGCAAUCGAAGCAGUGAACUUAAGCCCCAGUAAACGGCGGCCGUAACUAUAACGGUCCUAAGGUAGCGAAAUUCCUUGUCGGGUAAGUUCCGACCCGCACGAAAGGCGUAACGAUUUGGGCACUGUCUCAACAACAGACUCGGUGAAAUUGUAAUUCCGGUGAAGAUGCCGGAUACCUGCGACAGGACGGAAAGACCCCAUGGAGCUUUACUGUAGCUUGACAUUGGGUCUUGGUACUACAUGUACAGGAUAGGUGGGAGGCUUUGAAACCAGGACGCCAGUUUUGGCGGAGCCAUCCUUGGGAUACCACCCUUGUAGUACUGGGACUCUAACCAUAGGCCAUGAAUCUGGUCUUGGGACACUGUCAGGUGGGCAGUUUGACUGGGGCGGUCGCCUCCCAAAAGGUAACGGAGGCGCUCAAAGGUUCUCUCAGUACGGUCGGAAAUCGUACGUAGAGUGUAAAGGCAAAAGAGAGCUUGAUUGCAAGACAUACAGGUCGAGCAAGGAUGAAAAUCGGACUUAGUGAUCCGGUGGUUCUGCGUGGAAGGGCCAUCGCUCAACGGAUAAAAGCUACCCUGGGGAUAACAGGCUUAUCUCCCCCAAGAGUCCACAUCGACGGGGAGGUUUGGCACCUCGAUGUCGGCUCAUCACAUCCUGGGGCUGUAGUAGGUCCCAAGGGUUGGGCUGUUCGCCCAUUAAAGUGGUACGCGAGCUGGGUUCAGAACGUCGUGAGACAGUUCGGUCCCUAUCCGUCGCAGGCGUAGGAAAUUUGAGAAGACCUGUCCUUAGUACGAGAGGACCGGGAUGGACGUACCUCUGGUGUACCAGUUGUCCUGCCAAGGGCAUGGCUGGG